rnacentral:lncRNA from 1 species
GUUUGUUAGAUAUCGCUUUCAUGGUGACGUCAGCUGAGAUGCCUCAGUGGUUUGGUUUGCCUAUAAAUGGAGCACAGUACCCUGUACUGUUACAUUUGAUUGACUGAGCGAGUUCUUCUCCUCAUGUCUAAUCCUUUCAUCUUGUGCAAUCAACCAUGGAGUAUCAGGCUGAGGGGGAGUUUAGUUUGUAAGCAUGCUUUGUAAUCUUUUGAUUUACUUUGUAAUCUUUUGACUGAUGCAAAUCAUGUGUUUUUGAAAUCUAUUUCUCUCGUUGAUCGUGUUUACAAAGUUUGUUGUUCAUUUCCGCUGCACUUAAACUCUGUUCAUUUCUAUUGAUUUGUUCAGAUUAUACAAACAAACACAAUCAUGACAGCCUUCGAUCCUAACAGCGGGGGUAAUUAAAUUAGUGUGUACCCGACGACCAGAAACUUCACGCAAUGUUUCUACCCAAUGUGACGUAGAGUCUGCCGUGUAGCCCAUGUCUUGGAAAUAUUAAGCUAUGGUAACUCCUGAAUGAAAAUAAAUAUGCAAUUACAUUACAACUUAGGUAAUUUGACUAACUAUUGAUAGAUGCAUUAAAACCAUAAGGUAUGGAACAAAAAGAUUGAAUAUAUGAAAACCCUAACAAACUUCACACUAGCAAUGUUUUCAAUGGCUAGGUUAUCG